CGAUUAAGCACACAGAUUUCUUUAAACACGGAGUCUUCUCUCUGAUUGGUCUAGACUACAUUUAGCUCUCGACCCAGUUUCUUAAAAGCCACAUUCAAAAUGGCGCAUGAGUUGCCGUGAAUUUAGAACUGAAAGAAUCGAUGUCGCACUGAAUUGUCGGUUUAUUUCGACGGGUGUGUUAUGUUUGAUAACGUAUGAUGGUGACCUGUUCUAAAAAACUUGUCUCACCUUCACUUUAUACAUCGGAUGUGUGAAGUAACGUCUUUCUACCAAGAUGAAAUUCUAAUGUUUACAAGGAACCCCUCGACAGUUAUGCUGGGGAUUCAGACUUUGCGUUAUCUGUCAAGGGUGUCAGUGUUGGCAUUGAAGAUCUCCAGUGACAUGAUCUGUGGAGUGAUAUAUGAUGUUGUGGUGGGAUUUGUGGUUCUCCCAAACAGGAUCACAGUUCCUUUGACUGAUGUUGAUCUGUAUGAAAUACCCCUUGCCUGAUGGCAUCCUUUGCAUUGAAGUCCUGGAAGCUAAAUAGACUUAAUCAAGAAAGACAUUGUUACCAUAUCUAAAGGUUCUACCAAGAUCUAAAUGUCAUUCUCAGAGUGGGAGCCAAGACACAAAGACAAAGGACAACACAGUGAAUCCAAUAUGGAAUGAAACGUUUGAGGCCUUUGUGGACAACUCACAUGGUCAGAAAAUAAAGAUUGGUGUCUUUGAUUAAGACUAAGUGUCUGAUGAUGAAUCUCUUGGAUCAUACAUGUUGAGGCUGACAUUGGUACAAUUGUCCAACAAGGCAAUGUUGGAUUGGAAGAGCAAGAACUGACCAUUAAGAAAUGUAGGAACAAAGUGGACUGUAUGACUGAUGAAAUGAAAAUGUUUCAAAGAAUGACUACGGAGGAUGCAACGCCUAAACAAGCUCUUAAGUCGAGGAUGAGGGAAAGAGUAUAGCGGAAAGAAAAACAGCAAAAAGGGGGAGGGGGUGGGGAAGAGGCAGGUCCCCGCCCACACCACUCCCCUACCUGUCGCUUUAUUCAAAGUUAGCACAGAUUUCUCUGAACGCGGCGUCUUCUUUCUGAUUGGCCUAGACUAGCUUUCGACCCAGUUUCUUAGCAGCCACAUUGAAAAUGGCGGACGAGCUGCCGUUAAUUUAAAACUGAAUCGAUGUCGCACUGAAGAGUCGGUUUGUUUCGACAAUUGUGGUACAUUUGAUGACGGAUGAUGACGUAUGAUGAUGACCUGUUCUAAGAACUAGUCAUAUCUUCACUUUGUACAUCGGAUGUGUGAAGUAACGUCUUUCUUCCAUGAUGAAAUUCUAAUGUUUACCAAGAACCUCUCGACAGAUUUCACAAGCUACUGAGGUUCUACAGACAAAUUACAGAGUGCAGUAAAUAAGUACCAUUGGAAUCACUCACUAAAUCUGGAAAGUCAAUUGAUUAACACUGUGAGCUUGAAGAACCACAACAGACAGAAUUGCCCUUAUGAUACUUCCACAGAAGAUGAAAAACUGUUGGAUUCCCUCUGGGACGUGUGUAAAUCAGCUCAAGACAUGUUGCAGAAACGGGAAGAGCAAGAAAUGACCAUUAAGAAAUGUAGGAACAAAGUGGACUGUAUGACUGAUGAAAUGAAAAUGUUUCAAAGAAUUACUACAAAGGAUACUACGCCUAAACAAGGCAUAAAGAUGGUUUCUGGGAAAACGUCGUGGUCAAUUUAGCAAUGGCAAAGAAGGAGUUUGAAAAAUGCUAAUUCACAAAUUCAUUUGAGUCAUAUUUGAGAAACUUCUUCAUGGACUUCUACAGCUAUUGUUCUCAACUGA